rnacentral:snoRNA from 1 species
ACUACCUUACUUGAACAGGACCUGUUCUAUAGGCUCGUACCAUUGUAUCCUUGAGUCCUAAGGAGAUAGGAAACCAGGUCUGGUGGUUGAAUCCCCAACAUCGGUGUGCUGGGAUGGUCUAAUAGUUGUCUAUCAACUCUUCAAUCUUUUUUCGCUAUGGUUUUAUUUGCUAGAGAGAAUCAAAAUGUAGGUAGACU